rnacentral:rRNA from 1 species
GUUGUCUUUUCUAUUUGACAGAGAGAGUGUUGUGCGGAGUCGAGUUGUUGGGCGAUGCAGAGCAUGUCUUUGGCAUAGCCUCGUCUGUAUGUGGCGAGGUCCGGUGUGUAUUCGACGGUCCGUGAAAAUCCAGGCGCUAGAAGUGAAGGUAAGGUCCUCCGUUGCCGUACUGAUAACCGCAACAGGUCUCCAAGAUGAAAAGUCUCUAGUCAAUAGAAGAAUGUAGAUAAGGGAAGUCGGCAAAAUAGAUUCGUAACUUUGGGAUAAGAAUUGGCUCUGAGGGUGUGGUUGUUUGGCGGUUGGGGUGUGUUUGUGUGGG